GCCGGUGUGUCGGAAUUGGCAGACGAGGCAGACUCAAAAUCUGUUUCCGGCAACGGAGUGCGGGUUCAAGUCCCGCCACCGGCA
rnacentral:tRNA from 1 species